rnacentral:rRNA from 1 species
UACGUAGGGUGCGAGCGUUGUCCGGAAUUAUUGGGCGUAAAGAGCUUGUAGGCGGUUUGUCGCGUCUGCUGUAAAAAUCCGGGACUCAACCCCGGACCUGCAGUGGGUACGGGCAGACUAGAGUGUGGUAGGGGAGACUGGAAUUCCUGGUGUAGCGGUGAAAUGCGCAGAUAUCAGGAGGAACACCGAUGGCGAAGGCAGGUCUCUGGGCCACUACUGACGCUGAGAAGCGAAAGCAUGGGGAGCGAACAGG